GAAGGGGAACAGAUGGUCGCUCCUCCUGAUAUCGCGCGGAGCGGGAGAUCAGGAGGGGAGGAAAGUCCGAGCUCCACAGGGCAGGGUGGUCCGUAACACGGACUGCCCCCUGUGAAAUAGGUGCAAGCAGCUAAUUUAUGUGUUGGGAUGAUUAAGCUGAUCCUUCCCGUUGCAGAGUUAGCAAUGCCCUUAUUUCAUGGGGGAAAAGGAAAGUGCCACAGAAAACAUACCGCCCCGUGAAGUAGGCGUAGCCGCCACUUCACAGGGUAAGGGUGAAAAGGUGAGGUAAGAGCUUACCAGUACCCUGAGAGAUUGGGGUAGCUAGGCAAACCCCAUCCGGAGCAAGACCGAAUAGGUUCCGUUUCCCCCCGUGGAAUGGCGGUUUCGCCUAUUCCACAGGGGGAUAAGAAUUGCCCAUUCAAAUUUGUCUCGAGGCAAUUGCAGCGAGACAAAGGCGGGACGGGUUAGGUCGCUUGAGACCCUGGGUAAUCAGGGCCCUAGAUAAAUGGCCAUCCUCCUGAUUCCGCUGAAAAGCAGGGUCGGGAUGACAGAACUCGGCUUAUGGUCCCCUUCGAAU
rnacentral:RNase_P_RNA from 2 species